CCAGAACCAUAGAAACAAUUGCUUCAUAAAAGGUUUGCAUGGAGAUUGUGAUGAAGAGUCUUGAUCAUAAUUAAACUCUUGAAUAUGUUGGAGCAUAUUUGAAAA